rnacentral:misc_RNA from 1 species
AUGUCGUCCCUCGACUAUUUGGAUUUGUGCAGAUUGUGUCUAAUGAAAGAUCGUGUGUCCGUACCGAUAUUCGAGGGUGAGGGUGAUGUCAGGCAGAUUUUUUUAAAGAUUGCGGCCUGCUUGCCGGUCAAGGUUGCACGGGAAGACAAGUUACCUAAAAAGAUAUGCGACGAUUGCGUUUACAAAGUAGAAUUACUUUACCAAUUUUGGAAUACAACGGCAAACGCCGAGAAGCAGCUACUCCAAUGGCUUGGCGAAGUUGGCUUGGAGGACAAGCAAGGCUAUGUCACUGGUGUCCUAAAUCCGAGUACAAUGAAACAAGAAGAAAACAGUUCCAGCGGAUUGGGAGGCACAGCAAUACAGGUGACUGGAGUUCAACCUGGCAUUGGUAUAGGAGUUAUAGACAACAUGGGACUAGGCAUGCCGCUAAUUAUUCCCAGCUCAACACAGCAGCAAUUAACUGCUGUGCCAAUGGAUACAAGCACUGGACCCAUCCAACCUAUCCAACCUAUCCAACAGGCUGUACCUGGUCCAAGUAGUCAACCUGGACAUGAACAGAUUGCCGAGUCCCAAACUAAUGCAACAACGCAUCAACAGGACGAGGAAGAGGAAACUAGCGAUGAUGAAGAAAACUCUGACGAUGAUUGCGAUGGUGAUGAUGGUCUACCUGUCAAGGAAGAAAGCGAGGAAGAUCCUAGUAAUAGUAGAACGAUUGAACCUACGACGUUUGUAAAUGUAUCCCUGGCUUGCGACGAAGCGGGUCCGUCCGGCUUGCAGCAGCAAAAAAUCGUGGAAAUGCCAGAAAUGGCUAUGCCCCAGACAACCGACGGUGAUCCCAAGUCUGGAUACGGCACUGAUGUGAAGCUCCCCUUUGUCGGCAAAGAAAAUGAAUCUGCUUCUUGCAUCAGACUUUGCCUCGAAGAGAGUAAUGUAGGACCAACCAGGGAUUCGUCUGUGCGGCAAUCUCAACCCUUGCGCGUUCAGGACCUCUUGUUUACCCCUCUUGUAAAAGAAGAAGUCACCGUUAGUGGAAGUCAAGUAUUGUCAAUCAACGCCCUCAUUGGUCAUAUACAAGUAACGAAGAGGUUUCAUUUUUUCGCGGGAUUUGGAAGAAAUGGAAAUGGCGAUUCAUUCCUUCGAGCUGCAAGGCGAGUACGAUCUUCGGGACCUUUUAGAUGUGCGAUCUGCAACUGUGGAUUUAAAUCAGGUCCGUCGUUGAAGCAACACGUGUCCAAGGUGCAUGGUGCUGCCUUACCACAGAAAUUUAAAUGCCAUCAUUGUACCUUUGAGACGGACUGGAGAGGAAACCUGCGCAAUCAUAUGCGCCUUCAUGCUAACUAUAUUCCUAGUGGUAAAAACAAGAAACCAUGUGGAUUGUGCGAUCAGUCUUUUUCAAACACCAAAAAUUUACUCAAUCACAGAAACGCACACAAACCAACAUACUUUUCUCAAGAUUCAUCUGAACCUCCAAUGUAUGAAUGUGAUUUUUGUGGGCUGAAACUUGAAAAAAAAGGACACUUCUCACGGCACAGAAGAUUACAUGUCAACCGAGUUCGUAUGGCAUGUCAAGUUUGUCACAAAUGGUUCCGGUAUAGAGACAAGCUGGAUCUCCAUGUUAAAGCGAUGCACCUUAAAGACCGUCCAUUCUCCUGCUUGAUUUGUGAAAAAUCUUACAAGACCAAAUCGAUAUUGCACAAACACACCAAGAUACAUGGCCAAAGAGUAGUUUGCUAUAUAUGCGGUUGUGUGGAGGAAUCUAAACUUUCUCUGAAACAACAUCUCAGUAGGCACGACAAGGAGUACAACAUGUUUUGCAUGACUUGUAACAAGGGGUUUUAUGCAAUACAGGCAUUGAAUAACCACAUGAGGCAGGAACAUGAUGGAGACAAACCAUUCAAGUGUCACAUUUGUGGAGAGACAUUCUUAAGUCGGACUUAUCUGAGAUUACAUAAAAAGUCGCACGAACAACCUGUGAAAUAUAAAUGCUCGUUGUGCAACUUUGAAAGUACAUGGAAAAAGUCUUUGAGAACGCAUACGAAAAUUCAUUCCGGUGAGAACCUGAUGACAUGUGAGGUGUGCGGAAAGUGUCUCUCAACCAAAGCCUCCUUUGAAACUCACAUGAGAAUUCACACGGGGGAAAAACCACACGUUUGUGAAGUUUGUGGAAAAGCAUUCAGUGCGAGGAAGUAUUUACACAUACACAAUCGCACCCACACUGGAGAGAAACCUUACGCAUGUGAAAAAUGCCCAAAACGUUUUACUCAGAAGGGCUCCAUGAAGUUACACAUGAAGUCCCAACACGUUUCUACUUAAUUCUUCAAAGCUGCGAUCUUGUACCGUAGUUCUUACGUGAUUCACGAGAUUCACUAAUGCCAACACGUCAAGAAAAUACAAAGAGAAUAGCCCCAAGGAGUAUGCAGCUACACAACUAGUGCAGUGUGAAAUAAUUGAUGGAUCAAAGGCUCCUACUGAUCCUUCAAUACUUAAGAAAGAAUCCUGCAGCUUGGAUAAAACCAU